rnacentral:rRNA from 1 species
GCCGCUCCGUCUCCCGCCCUGCGGUCGCCGCCGUAAGAUCUUGGACGGGCCCCUAGAUCUUCAACGGCCCAGCCGGCCCGCGCCGCCCGGCGGCCCUCUAUCUCCGUCGCAGAAUCUUCUGACGGCGCCCGAGAUCGGUUCCUCCGCGCGUCGUGAUCCCUCGCAUAGGAUAUCGGCAUGGCUGGUGAAGGCAUCUCGAUAGAUGAAUUUAUGGAGUACGGCUCGAUGGUCAGGCAGACAUUUAAAAGUGAGAACGAAGCGUACAAGUUCUACUUAGCGUAUGCGAAGAGCAAAGGGUUUGGUGUUAGAAAGGGCGGUCUGAAAUAUAAGGGAAACAAGGAAAAUGCAUACCGGAGGACGUUUGUGUGCUGCAAACAAGGAUAUUGUGACGUAAAGCACUUUGAUGAAACCGACAAGAAAUGUACGCCAAGGGCAUUCUCUCGGUGUGGUUGUCCUGCUCUUUUGUAGGUUGAGCUUCAAGCAAGCACUGGGUUGUGGUUUGUAAAGAAUUUUGUUGACCAACAUAGCCAUCCAUUCCUAAAUCCUGAGUUGUCACCUUUCCUGUGGUCUCAUCGUGGCCUGAACGACCCACAGAAGGCGGAUGUCAUUGAGUACUCAGUUGGUGGACUUCGCACACAUCAUAUAAUGGAUGUGAUGGAGAAGCAGGCUGGUGGUUUCGGCAAGGCUGGAUUUAUAUCUCGCGAUCUGUAUAACCAUGUCGCAUUGGAGAAGAAGAAAAAGAUAGAAGGUAGCGAUGCUCAGUUUAUGCUGAACUACAUGACAGCACAACAGAUGAAAGACCCAGAUUUUUUUUACAGAUACACCACAGACAAUGAUGGGCAUCUGCAAAACAUAUUCUGGGCAGACGCCCAAUCUCGCUUGGACUAUGUUGCAUUUGGUGGUGUGGUGGUGUUUGACAGCACAUACUGGUCAAACAAAUAUAGGUUGCCGUUUGUUCCAUUUGUGGGGCUGAACCAUCACCGCAGCACAGCCGAGUUUGGGGUUGGUCUUGUAUCCGGCGAAUCGGCUGACUCAUAUGAGUGGCUGCUUCAGGUUUUUUUGGAGGCAAUGCACCAGAAGCAUCCCAUUUCAGCGAUCACAGACGGCAACACUUCAAUGGCCAAAGCCAUAUCAUCAGUCUGGCCUAGCACAUAUCACCGUCUGUGCAGCUGGCAUAUCGAGCAGAAUAUGGUGCUUCACCUCCGAAAGGAAAAGCUUAAGGAAUUUAGGAAAUUUAUUUACUAUGCCAUGGAGAUGCAUGGAUUCACAUGAUGUACGAGCUGAGAGAGAAGUGGUCUGUAGCAUAUAACAAGGAAAGGUAUUUCCUAGGGAUGUUGAGCAAUCAGAGGAGUGAGUCUCUAAACUCGAGGCUUCAUGUGCACCUGAAUAGGAGAAUGAAACUCGUUGAUCUUGUGCAACACGUUGAACACUGUGUGUCAGUUUUGCGUCGGAAUGAAGCAGCAUUGGACGAUGUAGCUUCGCACACAAUCCCCUUCACUAGAUUGACUGCCGACCCACUUGAGAUAAGUGCGUCAUCUAUUUAUACCCCUGUUAUGUUCAGUAAGGUAAAGGCCGAGAUUGUCAACUUAUCAAGAUGGAAUGUUCUUGAGGUGGAAGAGGACACUGGUUUGGUUAGCUAUGGAGUUGCUCGCAAAGAGUCGGUGCAUGUUAGGUUCCAUGUCAUAUGUAUUUUUGAUGGAUCUAAGAUGGAAAGUGCAUAUUGUGGAUGUAGGAAGAUGGAAAGCGAGGAUUUUCCAUGUGCUCAUAUAUUUUGUGUUCUGAAGUACAAUGGGAUAUGCACCAUCCCCGCAUGUUGUGUGAAGGCUAGAUGGACAAUGCAAGCCAAGCCUGCUUUCGGUUCUGUGAGGAGUGCCAAUACACAUGUAUGGUCAGAACAGAUGGAUAAGUACCGUGAACUGCGCAAUAUGGCUAGCGAGGCUUUAUUCACGGCCUCAGCUAGCGAAAUGCAGUCAUAAAAGGUGAUGGAGUACCUGAGGAGCAUAUUGGACGAGGGCAACAGAAAUGAUGUGAAUACUGGCACACCAUCAUUUGUUCCUAUGCCGACGUAUUUUUCUGGGGCGCGGCAAUGGUUUAUAGAUCAAGUUCAAGACCCUAAACCAAUAAUAAAUCCCAAAGGCGUACCAGCCAAAGAAUCGAAUAAGAGGUUGAAGCCAUUCCUGGAGAAUUUGAAAGCAAAAAAGAAAACAUUGAAGAAAGUUCAUGGUCAGUUGAGUAGGGGGAGGAAGAAAAAAGUGAACAAUACUGUGGAAGAAGUAGAAGAAGAAGAAGAAGAAGAGGCAGAAGAAGAGGAUCGUGCUAAGAAGAGGAAACCGGUGAAGAAAGCUUCAGCAAAGGUGACUGAAGUUAUUAUGAUGACUCGGGGGAGAAAGAGAAAAGAGAACAAUGACGAAGUGUGUGCUAAGAACAAAAGACCUUUCAAGAAAACGGCUGGAAAGUCUAAGUAGACAGACAAAGAUGACAAGGGGGACAAAGAAAAGAUGACAAUAAAUCCACUUUUUGUUUGCCAUUAUUCUGUCGAAUUAUUGGUCACAAGUGUUAUACAUUCAGUUUUUUACUAUGGAAUUUAUCAUCAGAGUUAUAUUUGUACUAUGGAAGUUAUCAUCAGAGCUAUUGGAUGUGUGUGUCCUUGUGAACUUGUGAUUAUGUGCUAUGCUAAAUGCUAUGGGAACUAAACCUGUGAACAUGUUCUAUUUGAAUUCUGCCAAAAAUGAGCAUGGGUUCACU